GUGAGGAAUAUUGGUCAAUGGGCGAGAGCCUGAACCAGCCAAGUCGCGUGAAGGAUGAAGGUUUUAUGAAUUGUAAACUUCUUUUGCAGGGGAAUAAAGUACGGUACGUGUACCGUUUUGUAUGUACUCUGCGAAUAAGGAUCGGCUAACUCCGUGCCAGCAGCCGCGGUAAUACGGAGGAUCCAAGCGUUAUCCGGAUUUAUUGGGUUUAAAGGGUGCGCAGGCGGGUUGAUAAGUCAGCGGUGAAAGUUUGCAGCUUAACUGUAAAAUUGCCGUUGAAACUGUCGAUCUUGAGUGCAAAUGAGGUAAGCGGAAUGUGUUGUGUAGCGGUGAAAUGCUUAGAUAUAACACAGAACACCGAUUGCGAAGGCAGCUUACUGGGAUGCAACUGACGCUCAUGCACGAAAGCGUGGGGAUCAAACAGGAUUAGAAACCCGGGUAGUCC
rnacentral:rRNA from 1 species